AGCCGCCUCGUUGCUCUGGCGUAGAAGACAUGGGGACGCUCCAUCAGCCUCCGUCUGCAAAGCAUCAGGAGCACACUUUGAGAGCAGCAGCAGCUUUUGAAAAGCUGGUAUACAGGGCGCCUGGGUGGCGCAGUCGGUUAAGCGUCCGACUUCAGC